rnacentral:rRNA from 1 species
CAACGGGGUGCGACACGGUGACGUGGGGCGGAUCCCUGAAAACCGGUCUCAGUUCGGAUCGCAGUCUGCAACUCGACUGCGUGAAGGUGGAGUCGCUAGUAAUCGCGGAUCAGCAACGCCGCGGUGAAUGCGUUCCCGGGCCUUGUACACACCGCCCGUCAAGUCAUGAAAGUGGGCAGCACCCGAAGACGGUGGCCUAACCCUUGUGGGGGGAGCCGUCUAAGGUGAGGCUCGUGAUUGGGACUAAGUCGUAACAAGGUAGC